AUUGAACGCUGGCGGCAGGCCUAACACAUGCAAGUCGAACGAGUGGCGGACGGGUGAGUAAUGUCUGGGAAACUGCCCGAUGGAGGGGGAUAACUACUGGAAACGUUAGCUAAUACCGCAUACCAUCGGAUGUGCCCAGAUGGGAUUAGCUAGUAGGUGGGGUAACGGCAAACGAAGGCGACGAGACCUAGCUGGUCUGAGAGGGUGACCGGCCACACUGGAACUGAGACACGGCCCAGACUCCUACGGGAGGCAGCAGUGGGGAAUAUUGGGCAAUGGGCGCAAGCCUGAUGAAGCAAUGCCGCGUGAAUGAAGAAGGUCUUCGGAUUGUAAAGUACUUUCAGCGGGGAGGCGUUACUCACAGAAGAAGCACCGGCUAACUCCGUGCCAGCAGCCGCGGUAAUAC
rnacentral:rRNA from 1 species